rnacentral:rRNA from 1 species
AAUAAGCGGAGGAAAAGAAACCAACAGGGAUUGCYUCAGUAACGGCGAGUGAAGCGGCAACAGCUCAAAUUUGAAAUCUGGCUCCACCGGGGUCCGAGUUGUAAUUUGUAGAGGAUGUUUCGGGUGAGGCGCCGGUCUAAGUCCCUUGGAACAGGGUGUCGCAGAGGGUGAGAAUCCCGUAUGUGACCGGUGACCGAGUCCAGGUGAAGCUCCUUCGACGAGUCGAGUUGUUUGGGAAUGCAGCUCAAAAUGGGUGGUAAAUUUCAUCUAAAGCUAAAUACCGGCCAGAGACCGAUAGCGCACAAGUAGAGUGAUCGAAAGAUGAAAAGCACUUUGGAAAGAGAGUUAAAAAGUACGUGAAAUUGUUGAAAGGGAAGCGCUUGCCACCAGACCUGCCCGCGGACGCUCAGCGGGGGUUCUCCCCCGUGCACUCGUCCGCGACCAGGCCAGCAUCGGUUUCGGUGGUCGGAGAAAGGCCCUGGGAAUGUAGCUCCCCUCGGGGAGUGUUAUAGCCCGGGGCGCAAUACGGCCAACCGGGACCGAGGACCGCGCUUCGGCUAGGAUGCUGGCGUAAUGGUGGUAAGCGGCC